CCUGCAUAGACCUUUGGUCCAGUAACUGACGCUGAACGUCCUCACACUCUGUACAAGGACAUCCAAUGUCAGAAUUUUUCGGAGGGGGCGGAACACUGAUCGGGGCAGGGAGGAGUGAUAGUGCCAGGAAUACAGCUCUGUAUUCCUGGCACUAUAGUAUCCCAUUAAGGCAGGGAUAAUACUGCCCAGGUUUUAAUAUUUGGCGCUGAUCAGAAGUUCCAAAAAACAGUACGUGCAUUUUUUUACUUACCGCACCAAUUUCAAUAGCAUACUACACUAUAUUGUGUUUUCUUUUCUUAUUUGCGCAGUUGAGUGUCCGUUUAACAGUGUGAAAACAGUAAAUAUCUCAGGGUCUUUAAUUUAUUUUAUUUCUUUUAGUAUGAAGUUUGGUGACUAAUGUUACACUUAGAUAUCCAAUGUGUCAACAUUUUCAAAAGUUCAACUUCGAAAUUGGAAUGUUUAAAAAGUCUUUUGGUAUCAGAC